rnacentral:rRNA from 1 species
AGAGUUUGAUCAUGGCUCAGAGUGAACGCUGGCGGCGUGCCUAACACAUGCAAGUCGAACGAGAACGGAUAUAAGUUUACUUAUAUUGUCAGCUAAGUGGCGCACGGGUGAGUAAUAUAUAGUUAAUCUGCCCUGAAGAAGAGAAUAAUUGUUGGAAACGACUUGUAAUGCUCUAUAUGCCUUUAUCACAUAAGUGAGCAAGGGAAAUAUUUAUAGCUUCGGGAUGAGACUGUACGGUAUCAGCUAGUUGGUGAGGUAAUGGCUCACCAAGGCUAUGACAUCUAACUGGUUUGAGAGGAUGAUCAGUCACACUGGAACUGAGACACGGUCCAGACUCCUACGGGAGGCAGCAGUGGGGAAUAUUGCGCAAUGGAGGAAACUCUGAUGCAGCAACGCCGCGUGGAGGAUGACACAUUUCGGUGCGUAAACUCCUUUUAUUAGGGAAGAUAAUGACGGUACCUAAUGAAUAAGCACCGGCUAACUCCGUGCCAGCAGCCGCGGUAAUACGGGGGGUGCAAGCGUUACUCGGAAUCACUGGGCGUAAAGAGCAUGUAGGCUGAUUAGUAAGUUGGAAGUGAAAUCCUAUGGCUCAA